CUCGACCUGAAGCCGCUCUCUCUCCUCAUCGUUGAAGGGGGUAGCAGGAUUUGGGGCUGGAGUCACACUUGGAGGUUUAUUCUUUGACUGGAAGCAAAUAAGGAAAAAAUGCACUGUCAUGGCUGCACACCUUGUCUGAGAUAGUAGAUGACCAGGUUGAGUCUGGCCUCAGGGAUCACAUCAAUCAGAGGAGGCAGCACCUGCAAUGCCCCCUCCCCACCACGAAACACCACCUGCAGUAUACAGGGACACAGAUUCACAAUGUGGAAAAGUAGCUUGGCAUGACAGGUGAAACUCUGUUGGAGGAAAUGCAGUAAAAAGACAAAAAACAGUUAGCCCCUCUGUGAAGAUGCAGUCAUUAUUUAUUCAGCUCCAAGGGAAUUCAACACAGCAGUUCCAUCUAAGUCAUACAAGUGUGCCCACUCAGAGCUCAUCUGCUACACCACUCAUGCUCCAUGUUUGCCUGCCUCCUGCUCCUAUGUCUCCAGGGACAUGAAGAAUUGAUAAUAGACCAGACUGAAUUCACUGGAUGAAGUUCUUGGAACCCAUUUAUCUCACAUUUUAAAAGGUUAUGCACUUACCACGUUUUACUUUACUGAUACAUCAUUCUUACUUACGUGUAUUUUGUGUUGACUACAUUGUAUUGAACCUCGUGCAGUUCUGCAAGAUCAUAAUCCAACUACUGUAUUAUUUCUAGCACUUGUAACACUUUCUUAGCCCGUUUUGGGGGAUCUUGUGCUUUUAUUAUAACUCUGCAAAUCACCUUGGCACGUGAUAAUUAAUCUUAUCAACCCAUUUGGAUUGAGUUAAAUGAUGCGUA